UUGAUAGUACAUCAUAAUUUCUAUCCGCCCGGGAACUACAAGCACUAGCUUAAAACCCAAAGGACUUGGCGGUGCUUUAGACCCACCUAGAGGAGCCUGUUCUAGAACCGAUACCCCCCGUUCAACCUCACCACUUCUUGUUGAUUCCGCCUAUAUACCGCCGUCGUCAGCUUACCCUGUGAAGGCCUAGUAGUAAGCUAAAUUGGCACAGCCCAAAACGUCAGGUCGAGGUGUAGCACGAAGUGCGUAUAAAUGGGCUACAUUUUCUGAUCCAGAAAACUUUACGGAAGUUUAAAUNNNNNANAUACCCNNAGGAGNAUUUAGCANUAAGUANNNNUUAUACGUUCU
rnacentral:rRNA from 1 species